UCCAGACUCCUACGGGAGGCAGCAGUGGGGAAUAUUGCACAAUGGGGGAAACCCUGAUGCAGCAACGCCGCGUGAGUGAAGAAGUAUUUCGGUAUGUAAAGCUCUAUCAGCAGGGAAGAAGAAAGACGGUACCUGACUAAGAAGCCCCGGCUAACUACGUGCCAGCAGCCGCGGUAAUACGUAGGGGGCAAGCGUUAUCCGGAUUUACUGGGUGUAAAGGGCGAGUAGGCGGGAUUGCAAGUCAGAUGUGAAAACUAUGGGCUCAACCGAUAGAGUGCAUUUGAAACUGCAGUUCUUGAGUGAUGGAGAGGCAGGCGGAAUUCCCGGUGUAGCGGUGAAAUGCGUAGAUAUUAGGAGGAACACCAGUGGCGAAGGCGGCCUGCUGGACGAUGACUGACGUUGAGGCUCGAAAGCGUGGGGAGCAAACAGGAUUAAAUACCCGUGUA
rnacentral:rRNA from 1 species